GGGUGAGCGCUGGCCAAAAGGUAAAGCAGGCCCUGUGCCCGCAGAGAACUACUUUUGGGAGAGACAGGGGAGGCUUCCCAAAGAAAGUGACUUUGGGUUUUGGGCAGACGGUUUCCUUGAGAGAAUAUUUUGAGUCAGCAGCCACUGGCCCGUGAACAGGGGAGGAGGGCGUGUGUUCAGGCUGCUCAGCUCCCAAAAUAACCCCGAUCCGAGGGCGGACAGCCCGGCAAGCCGCAGGAGCCGCCGCCAUGUGCUGCCCGGCCCGGCCGGGCUCUUUUGACCUUGGAGCGGUCCUUGCCUGGCCGGUGCCCCCCCAGAGGUAGGAGGGGCGAGGAGGAAGCCCAGGAUGCGGCUCCAGCCCCCGCAGUGCAGCACCAGGACUCCAUGGACAGCGCUCCAGCCUCUGCGUAUCAGCCUGUGGUUAUCAGAUCCUUCGACCUCAGCCACCCAAUCCCUUCCCAGCACCCACCUCCAUCCAUCCAUCAGCACCUCAUCCCCAGAGACAGCUGGGCCCCAGCCCUCCGUGGUCAGAGGUGAAGCCUGAGGACUCACCUGUUAGCCUGUUGUGUGUGGCCAGGGCACAGACCAAAGCUCUGAUCAAAUUCCGCCUCUCAGUGAGAGCUGAGUACCCUACUGAAAAUUGUCAUUCCACCCCAGUGCUCGCUAGACUUGUUUCCUGGUUUAUAAAUAAACUAUAGUUUACUUAGUUAACUAAUUUUGUUUAUUGUUCUCACACACACACAUAUGAAUGCCAG
rnacentral:lncRNA from 1 species